UGAUGAUGAUGAUGCUGAUGUUGAUGAUGAUGAUGAUGAUGAUGAUACUGAUCAUCAUCAUCAUCAUCGUCAUCUUUUUCAUCACGU
rnacentral:pre_miRNA from 1 species